rnacentral:misc_RNA from 1 species
UAUAAUAAAAAAAAUCUCAUGUUUGGAGAGGGGUGAAUUGAUGAAAAGGUAAGGUAAGGUAAUGUAUAUUCUUUAUGUUGAAAAGAGGUAAAUGAGGGAUAAAUUUAAGGGGUGUAUAAAUAGAAAUAUUCAUAAUUUUCAGUCUCUCCCUCCUUACCUCUCUUUGUAAGAAAAAUUGGAAUUUGAGAGAUAAGAGAGGGCUUACUCUUAUCCUUACCCUCCAUUAACUCACUUUUCUCCUUCUAAACAAGGAAAAAUAAUUACUUACCCCUCCUUACCUUUAUUUAUCCAUCCCUCACCUUCAUCCAAACAAACUCUAAGAUAUUGGUCCCUGAUGUAAAAAAAUACUCAAGAUCAUUGAAAAGGAACAGGGAAAUUUCAAGUUACUUGCUAAAAUGGCUAGUUGAACCUCUGCCAGAACAAAUUAUAAAAACACAACAAACUCAAACCUAGUAGAUCAAACACAAAACAACCUCCUCUAGCUCCAAGCAUUUUCUUGAAUCCUUUAAUUAUCCCAGAAAAACACCUUGUAAAUCAUCACUGAGCCAAAGAGGAAAUGGCUGAAGGUUCAGUGGUCUUUCUGCUCAAUAAGCUUACAGAAAUUCUCCAAAACGAGGGGAACCUUUUGUCGAAAGUUCGAGCUGAGGCUGAGUACAUCAACGAUGAACUAGAGUUCAUGAAGGCCUUUCUAAGAGUUGCAGAGACGUUGGAGGAUAGCGAUCCUCAACUCAAAGUGUUUGCGAAGAAAGUGAGAUAUGUCGUUUAUGACCUUGAAGAUGCUCUUGAUGAUUUCAAGUUGCAUCUCAUUUCUGAUCAUGGAUAUGGAUUCCGUGCUUCUCUUCAAAAAAUUACUCACUUGGUUAAGAGUUUAAAAGCUCGGCAUCAAAUUGCUAUAAAAAUGCAACGGAUCAAAUUGCGAGUGAUUGGUAUCUCGGAGACACAUCGGAGAUACUUGAUCAAAAAUAAUAUUAUGGGACAAGGGUCGAGCUCCUGCAGUGAAAGGCAGCCAUCCAGAAGAAGGGAUAUUCUUCAACUUGAAGAAGCCAAUCCAGUGGGCAUUGAACACCACAAAAUGAAGCUUAUCGAGUGGCUUUUCGAAGACAAAUCUGAACGUGAAGUGGUUUCUGUGGUUGGUAUGGGAGGUCUGGGUAAGUCUACCCUGGUGAAAAAAGUCUAUGACAACAAAGAAGUGAAGAAACACUUUGAAUUUCGUGCUUGGAUCACACUGUCUCUAUCUUUCACAUCAGAAGACCUCCUUAAAGAUAUCAUUCAGCAACUCUCCCAUGUUCUCAGGUUAUCAGAUCCUCAAGGUGUGGACACCAUGGACAAUGAUAAGCUCAGGACUGUAAUCAGUGAAUUCCUUCAGGAACGGAGGUACCUAAUAGUCCUAGAUAAUGUGUCCAAUGCUAAAGCCUGGGACGAUUUUGAGCAUGUAUUGCCAAACAAUAGCUGUGGCAGCCGAAUUCUGCUCACAACAAGGAAUCAUGAUGUUGCCUUUCUUGCAUCCCCUGAUAAAGCCUACAAUUUGAAUCCAUUGUCUCAGGAAAAGUCUUGGACCUUGUUUUGCAGAAAGAUAUUUCAAAACAACCCUUGCCCUCUGUACUUGAAGGAUGUUUUGGAAAAAAUCCUCAGCAGAUGUCAGGGAUUGCCACUUGCAAUUGUGUCUAUUGCUGGUGUUCUUGCAACAAAGGACAAAGCUAGAAUAGACGAAUGGGAAAUGGUUCGACGUAGUCUUGGUGCUGCACUAGAAGACAAUGACCGAUUGAAGAGUAUACUGUCACUGAGCUACAAUGAUUUGCCUCACUAUCUCAAGUAUUGUUUGCUGUAUUUCAGCAUCUUUCCUGUGGGUAGUCCAAUUGUCUGUAGGAGGCUUGUCCGAUUAUGGAUAGCAGAGGGAUUCGUGAAAGAUAAGGAAGGAAUGACAUUAGAAGAAGUUGCAGAAGCCUACCUGAAUGAGCUCAUAAAAAGAAGCUUGGUCCAAGUGGUAGAGGCCACUAGUGAUGGAAGAGUCAAAACAUGCCGUGUCCAUGAUAUUCUGCUAGAAAUGAUAAUUUUGAAGUCGAGAGACCAAGAUUUCGCAGCAAUAGCUAAUGAACACAGCAUGAUGUGGCCUGGAAAUUUUCGCCGGUUAUCGGUACAUAAUGCCAUGCCUAGCUUACAACAAGGCCUAACUGCCUCUCGACCACGUUCACUGCUCAUGUUUUGGGGGUCAGAAUCUUUACCUGAAUCCCUUGUGUUGAAUUCCUCUCGUCGUUUUAGACUGCUUAAUGUCUUGGAUCUGGAAGGCACACCUUUAAAGAAAUUUCCAAAUGAAGUUGUUAGCCUUUACCUUCUAAAAUAUCUUAGUCUGAGGAAUACCAAGGUGAAUUCCAUUCCAAGCUCUAUUGCCAAGCUUCAGAUUCUGGAAACCUUGGAUUUGAAGCAUACCAAGGUUACAGAAAUGCCUGCUGAAAUUCUGAAGCUCCAAAAACUUCGCCACCUGCUAGUGUAUCGCCAUGAAAUUGAAUCUGAUGAUCAGCAGAUUCCAACCAAAUAUGGCUUCAAGGUACCAGCUCAAAUUGGAAGUCUACAGUCUGUACAAAAGCUUUGCUUUCUGGAGGCAAAUCAAGGCAAUAAUCUUUUGAUGGAACUAGGAAAAUUGAGUCAGCUAAGGAGGUUAGGCAUUGUAAAGUUAAGGAAAGAAGAUGGGAAGGCUUUGUGCUCUUCCAUUGAAAAGCUGAGAAACCUUCAGGCAGUAUCAAUUACUUCGGUAGAAGAGAACGAGAUCAUUGAUAUGGAGAACUUAUCUUCUCCUCCUCGAUUUCUUCAGCGAUUAUACUUGACAGGACGAUUGGAGAGGUUACCAGAAUGGUUAUCUUCACUUGAUAGUUUGGUGAAGGUUGUGUUAAAAUGGAGUGUAUUAAGUGAAGAUCCCCUACCAUUGCUCCAGCAUUUGCCCAAUCUUGCGCAUCUUGAAUUUGUGCAGGUUUAUGAUGGAGAGCUUUUGUGCUUUCAAGCCAAUGGGUUUCAAAGGCUAAAGUUUUUGGGUCUAAACAAAUUACAUAGACUCAACACAGUAACUAUUGAGAAUGGAGCAAUGCCUUGUCUUGAGAAGCUGAUUGUUCAGAGCUGCAAAUCAUUGUUGAGGGUGCCAUUAGGAAUUGAACACUUGACUGAUCUUAAAGUAUUGGAAUUUUUCAACAUGCCUUUAGAAUUAAUCAUGGCACUGCAUCCCAAUGGUGGAGAAGAUGGAGACUAUUGGAAGGUUGAGCGUGUGCCGGAGGUUUACUUCACCUACUGGUAUGAUGGUAAAUGGGAUAUUAUCUCUCUGGAGAGUUUCAAAGAGUCCAGAAAUUCUGCUCAGUCUGGCUCAAGCGUUAUUCAGCGUCCUCGGCACAUCUGGAAAUAAAACAGUCUUCGGCUUUAGUAGUUUUGGAUGAUUAUUCAUUUGUAAUAAAGGAGCCACUGGGUUCCUUUUUCCUUGUUUCAUUUCUCAGUUACCCUUAUACAAGUUGUAUCUUAAAUAUUAGUCAUGAACAGUUAUACAGCGUGUAUCAGUUUUUGGCAAAAUUAAGUCUUAGCAAGCACUUAAUCACUAUAUACUACUAAUCCAAUAGCUUCCCAGGCUCUAAUCUAUUGGCAAGCAAGCCAUGUCUUCCCAGAAUAAUACCAGAGAAGAUUUCCCCCAAAAUCAUAUGCUAGACUAGGAGCAAUAUAUGCUCACAGAGAAAAACAGACUCUGCAACCCUAUAAACUAUCAAUCAAAAUUACUUUCAAUCUUCAUAAAAAUUUCAAUACUCUUAAGAUCUUGGUUUUUG